AAUCAGAGAGCUCAUUCUUCGGUUCAUCAGUAAUCCUAAUUCCAUUAUCCUCGCUGUCACUGCUGCUAAUACAGAUAUGGCAACAUCAGAGGCACUUAAAAUUUCAAGAGAGGUAGAUCCAGAUGGUCGCAGAACCCUAGCUGUAAUCACUAAACUUGAUCUCAUGGAUGCGGGUACUGAUGCCAUGGAUGUAUUGAUGGGAAGGGUUAUUCCAGUCAAACUUGGAAUAAUUGGAGUAGUUAACAGGAGCCAGCUAGAUAUUAAUAACAAGAAGAGUGUAACUGAUUCAAUCCGUGAUGAGUAUGCUUUUCUUCAAAAGAAAUAUCCAUCUCUGGCCAAUAGAAAUGGAACAAAGUAUCUUGCUAGGACUCUAAACAGGUUACUGAUGCAUCACAUCAGAGAUUGUUUACCAGAGUUGAAAACAAGAAUAAAUGUUCUAGCUGCUCAGUAUCAGUCUCUUCUAAAUAGCUACGGUGAACCCGUGGAUGAUAAAAGUGCUACUUUACUCCAACUUAUUACCAAAUUUGCCACAGAAUAUUGUAACACUAUUGAAGGAACUGCAAAAUAUAUUGAAACUUCGGAGCUGUAAGUAAGAAAUUUUUCUGUAGAUUUGGUUACCUAGAUUGCUAGGUCACUUUUCCUUUUGUGAAGAUGACUUCAGCUCAGAUUAUCUGAUUAAGAUUUAUUUUCUAUAAAACAAAAAUAUAACUUUGUAGAGAUAAUA
rnacentral:sRNA from 1 species